GACGAACGCUGGCGGCGCGCCUAACACAUGCAAGUCGAACGGAGCUGAGAGAAGCUUGCUUUUCUUAGCUUAGUGGCGAACGGGUGAGUAACGCGUGAGUAACCUGCCCUGGAGUGGGGGACAACAGUUGGAAACGACUGCUAAUACCGCAUAAGCCCACGAUCCGGCAUCGGAUUGAGGGAAAAGGAUUUAUUCGCUUCAGGAUGGACUCGCGUCCAAUUAGCUAGUUGGUGAGGUAACGGUCCACCAAGGCGACGAUUGGUAGCCGGACUGAGAGGUUGAACGGCCACAUUGGGACUGAGACACGGCCCAGACUCCUACGGGAGGCAGCAGUGGGGGAUAUUGCACAAUGGGGGAAACCCUGAUGCAGCGACGCCGCGUGGAGGAAGAAGGUUUUCGGAUUGUAAACUCCUGUCGUUAGGGACGAUAAUGACGGUACCUAACAAGAAAGCACCGGCUAACUACGUG
rnacentral:rRNA from 1 species